ACUGCGAGCUCGUAAGAGUAAGCGAAUCUCAAAAAAGCCGGUCUCAGUUCGGAUUGUGGGCUGCAACCCGCCCACAUGAAGUCGGAGUUGCUAGUAAUCGCGGAUCAGCAUGCCGCGGUGAAUGCGUUCCCGGGCCUUGUACACACCGCCCGUCACACCAUGGAAGUUGGGGCGCCCGAAGCCAGUGGCCUAACCGCAAGGAGGGAGCUGUCUAAGGUGAAACCAAUGACUGGGGUGAAGUCGUAACAAGGUAAC
rnacentral:rRNA from 1 species